AACAGCUGAAAGGUGCCACAAGUUGGUUUGACUCCAUGCCUCGCAGAUGUGAAGAAAUCAUGAAAAACUGUGGUUAUACAACUAAAUACUAGUUCAGUGAUUCCAGGAGUGCUAAAAAGCAGUUGAACAUCAUAGUUUGAGUUGUAGCGUCACAGCAGAUGCUACUAUUAUGUGAACACUCCCCUUUUCUACUUGUUUUUACUAAUAGCCCAAUUUCAUAAGCCUUAAGAGUGUGCACAUCAUGAAUGCUUGGUCUUUGUUGGAUUGUGAGAAUCUACUGAAUCUACUGGUACCUUGUUUCCCAUGUAACAAUAGAAAUAUACUCAACCCUGGCUUAAUCUUUUUAAAUCACAUAGCACUACGAUUAUUCUGAACACUACUGUAUGUGGCCUUGGUGGAGGUAUGUACUCUCUGAGAGCCUCCAAUUAAUUUGUUAUUAUUACUUAUUGAUUUUUACCAGCUUUGACAUUUCACCUCAGUCUGUUGAAUCCACUCUGAAUAUCAAGAAUAGAAUUGUCUUUUAUUUGUGGUUGUGUAAUGUAAUAUUCAGGCCUUCCUGACCUACAUAUUUAUCUGCUUUUUCUACUCUAGCCAACACAAAUAAGAUAUUCAGAGAUGUUUUUCAGCCAUUCCAGAGCUGAGAAGCAUCAACAUUUCUUCAACUGGCCAAAACAGGAUACAACAGGAAAAUAUGCACAGGGGGGAAUCAAGCAUGGGUACUGCUGCAGUUCAUAUAUAUACACACACACAUAUAUAUGUAUAAAAAUAUGCGUGUGCACUGUAUGGUAAGAGCCCACUGGUUCCAGCAGUCACAGUUAUCUUUUGAACUUAAGUGCAGUGUGGACCUCUGCAGGGCCACGUGUGUGUCUGGUCACAAAGAGGACUUUGUCCUUUGUUUAGAAAAUAGAAGUGCUGCUUUUGUAUUUCUGGACAAUACAGUGGGUAACCUACAAGCUGUAUCUUCCUGCAGGAAGAAAGACUGAAAGCAGUGCAACUUUAAUCUGUCAGAUUUUUACUAAAAUAUAAGAUGCCUUUAUUGUCACUGUACUGAAUAUAUUACUUCUGCUGUUCCUCUUUUUCAUAACAAUGUCACUUUUAACCUGUUGACCUGAGACUGGGUCAUAAAUGCACAAUGCAAAGACAGCCUCAUGGUUUAGCAGUCUUCAAGAAGGUGCUUUUCAAGUGUAGUCUCUUAUUAAAAAGAAAUUUAAAAAGUCCACAGUCACAGUUUUAGGCUACAUAUUACAGUAAGUGUAACAUGGUGCCAAAUCAACAUAAGUUUUAUAUCGCCAAGUUCUACCUGGAUCUACCUUUGUAACAUUCUUGUGUAAAUAAUGUUUUAUUUUCAUUCUUGCACUGUUUCUGUACUUGAGAUGCACAAAAGGUGCAAAGUAACCUAAUGCUUGUUGUACUUUGCUAAUGAGCUGAUUAUUAAAUAUAAGGUUUUGGAUCA